AGCCUUAUGGAUUAUAUAUAAGGUGUGCCCUGCCCAGUGGAAUAUCUUAACGGCCGCAGUACCCUGACUGUGCUAAGGUAGCGUAAUCAGUUGGCUUUUAAAUGGAGUCGAGAAUGAAAGGGUUUAUGGGGGACCGCUGUUUCUAUUCUGCUUUUUCGAAUUUAUUUACCGGGUGAAAAUCCCCGGAAGAAGAAAAAAGACGAGAAGACCCUUAGAAUCUUCACUAGUAUGCAAUUAGUUUGUACUCUGUUUUUGUUGGGGCGACAACGGGGCAAAAUUAACGUAACCCCCGGUAAAAGGAAAUAACACGACGAUGUUAAUAAGUGAGAUUAGGUUACCUUAGGGAUAACAGCAUAAUUUUUUUAAAAGCUUGUGACCUCGAUGUUGGACUAGGGACCUUAUGACUAGCCGUCGCAAUGGCGGGAUCUGUUCGAUCCAUUAAACCCU
rnacentral:rRNA from 1 species